rnacentral:lncRNA from 1 species
CUUAAAACUGCCCUGCUCCUUCCCUGGCCCAUUGUCAGCAGGGCUGUUUCUUUCACUUUUCUCUUUUUCCCCCUUUGGAAGUACUUUCUCCUAGAGGUGCCUCCACCUUGUCUGUGGAUACCCAGCUGUAGGGCGCUGGAGCUGGCUGAAAUCUGCACAGGACCUCUCCCCAUAGAGGCAGACCUGGGAGCCUCCCACCACAGCCCUGACACAUGCACUUAAUGAUGAUAUGUACCGAUAUGAUUGCAAGAAGAAAAGCAGCAAUCAUCUCCAUAGCAGAGCAGCAACAAAUCUCAGGCAGGAUGGGUACCCACAGGUGCACUCUGAGUGACUGAUGGCAGAAAGCAACACUCUGCAAGUUCCAUGUGAGUAAUUUGAAAGAAUAAUUGAUUUGACUAAUGAAGGCGUCUUUCCUAUUUGUGAAUAGUCCAUGUGAAAAUUCUUUUUGCAUUAUUUUAAUUGCUAUUUUAAAAUCUGCCUACACUUUUUAAUGAAGGAAUUUCAGUUGUUCAGCUUGUUAACUGCUCACUAUUAGCAUUUCCUGGAAGCAACCAGUGUUUCUGAGUGCCCCUGGUUUAUUCAGUCUUAUGCUCUUCCUGGUUACCUCAGUAGGGGAUUUCCAAAUUUGAGGCAAUAGAUCUUAUUAAUGGCAGUGACUGCAAUAAGACAUAGUUCUGGCAUCUAAAGUAUCUUGAUG